rnacentral:rRNA from 1 species
ACCUGCCUUAUAGUGGGGGAUAGCCUUUCGAAAGGAAGAUUAAUACCGCAUAAGAUUGUAGUAUCGCAUGAUAUAGCAAUUAAAGGAGCAAUUCGCUAUAAGAUGGACCCGCGUCGCAUUAGCUAGUUGGUGAGGUAAUGGCUCACCAAGGCGACGAUGCGUAGCCGACCUGAGAGGGUGAUCGGCCACAUUGGGACUGAGACACGGCCCAGACUCCUACGGGAGGCAGCAUG